UUACGGUCAAAAUCACGCUGAAACACCGGUUCUCGUUCGAUCACCGAAGUUAAGCAUCGUAGAGCCAGGUCAGUACUUAGAUAGGGGACCGCUUGGGAACACCUGGUACUGUAAG